UUUUUUUUUUUUUUUUUUUUUUUUUUUUUUUAACAAAUAUAUUUUAUUUAUUCAGGUUCAUAAAUGGUACAAUGACUUCAAGAGGAAUUACCCUGACUUGUGGAAGAUUUCUGAAGAUGCCAUGAAGGAACUGAAACAGUUUUCUGCUCACCCUCCAGAUUUAUCCAAUUUAAAUCAUCCCUUCCACCCAAUUAGGCAUUGAUUUUAUCAUGUUAUGCCUUACAAUCUGCUUCUAUACAGGUAUUUCUUCUAGGUAAGAAUUAGAUGUUAACAUUAAAUACUCUUGUAGACUUAGAAAUAGCACAUAAUUAUAUGUAAUUAUGAAACGCAUCGUUUCAGGUAUCCCAAACACGACUUACUGCAGCAAUCAGAAUGGCCAACACAAAAUUGUCCGACCGGAACGCAUGGUUUUUCUUCACCUUUGUUUUCAUUAGCCGUGGAAAGGGGAAAAUCGUUUUCCAGUUUGGUUUUGUCGCUUUCAACUAAAUCACUUUCGAUCGCAUCCUCUUCAGCAUCCUCAACAUUUUUAUUUGAAAUUUCGUUUUCAUUUAAAUCACGCUGAAUUUUAAUUUCUUUUGUGUUAGCAUUUUGAUACUUCGUAGGUAUUGAAUUUCCGGCUGAAUAUUCACAUUUUAUCACCAAGUAAACCACCAGGAAUAAUAUACAAAAACGGGUCAUUUUGAUCUGUGGAUUAUUAAAUUACAAUGGAUUAUGGAGGUACAACUAGCUAAUAGUUAAUCAGCUUAGUGUAAAAUAAACCAUUUGGUGCAGUAUAUGUACAAGAAUUCUAGGUAUGAACCCGCAUAUCAAGUUACGCAUCCAAGAUAACAGAGUUAGAUAGGUAAGUACCUAUAUACUUACUUAAAAAGUACAGGGUGUUGAAAACUGAUACAUUUUAAAAGAUUAAGUAGGCUCAUACUCAUUACAUUAUUUCAAUCAAACCAGACAGUCUCAUCAGAACCAAUCAAAAUAACUGUACAUAGUACAACGCAGCGUGGAUAAUUUUUACUAUCGUGUUGAGUUUUAUAUUCAUAGCAAAGUUGAAGCGAAGCUAGACUACACACAUACUUACAGCUCAAAGUUCAUACAUUUUGUUGAGUAACUACCUAUUUAAUAGUAUUUAUAUAUUAAAUAGCAUUUAAAAUUAUAAAUGGAAAGGCUGUUUUUUUUUCAAAUGUUAGUCAUCCAAGUAGGUUAACUGGGAACGAGCGA
rnacentral:antisense_RNA from 1 species